AAGUUAAGGUUUGUAUCGCUGACUUGAGAUUUAUAUAAUAUAAUUAGAGCUAGCAUUUUUGACUAAUUCGUGCAAUUGAUGUCACAUCUAUAAUUUAAAAUUUGAUAAAAUUUAGUUAAUUGAGUUUAUUAAGUGUGUAUAAUUUUUUUUAUUAAUUUAAUGAUAUAAUUGAAAGAUAUCUAGAUUUGAGUACAAGAGGGUAUCAAAAGUUGGUAGUUUGAUGUUGGAUAGGGUUUCUAUGUUAUUUGAAGAUCUACUAGUUGGAUCAAGGUAAAAUUUGGCAUGGUAAUAGAAGACUUUAAGAUCAAG
rnacentral:lncRNA from 1 species